rnacentral:rRNA from 1 species
GACGAACGCUGGCGGCGUGCUUAACACAUGCAAGUCGAACGGAAAGGCACUGCUUUUGUGGGGUGCUCGAGUGGCGAACGGGUGAGUAACACGUGAGUAACCUGACCUUGACUUUGGGAUAACUUCAGGAAACUGGGGCUAAUACCGGAUAGGAGCUCCUGCUGCAUGGUGGGGGUUGGAAAGUUUCGGCGGUUGGGGAUGGACUCGCGGCUUAUCAGCUUGUUGGUGGGGUAGUGGCUUACCAAGGCUUUGACGGGUAGCCGGCCUGAGAGGGUGACCGGCCACAUGGGGACUGAGAUACGGCCCAGACUCCUACGGGAGGCAGCAGUGGGGAAUAUUGCACAAUGGGCGGAAGCCUGAUGCAGCAACGCCGCGUGCGGGAUGACGGCCUUCGGGUUGUAAACCGCUUUCGCCUGUGACGAAGCGUGAGUGACGGUAAUGGGUAAAGAAGCACCGGCUAACUACGUG